rnacentral:tRNA from 1 species
GCCAGGAUAGCUCAGUUGGUAGAGCAGAGGACUGAAAAUCCACCGAGCAUGUAUUGAUUCAAAUACCUGGUUCCUGGCA